UACGAAGGGGGCUAGCGUUGUUCGGAAUUACUGGGCGUAAAGCGCGCGCAGGCGGUUCUCCAAGUCAGUGGUGAAAUCUCCGGGCUCAACCCGGAAACUGCCAUUGAUACUAUUAGUCUUGAAUUUUGUUGAGGUAGGCGGAAUAAGUCAUGUAGCGGUGAAAUGCAUAGAUAUGACUUAGAACACCAAUUGCGAAGGCAGCUUGCUAAACAAAUAUUGACGCUGAGGCACGAAAGCGUGGGGAUCAAACAGG
rnacentral:rRNA from 1 species